GGAGAGAUGGCUGAGUGGUCUAAGGCAGCGGUCUUGAAAACCGCCGUACUGGCAACAGUACCGUGGGUUCGACUCCCACUCUCUCCGCCA
rnacentral:tRNA from 1 species